UACGGGGGGGGCAAGCGUUGUUCGGAAUUCCUGGGCGUAAAGGGCUCGUAGGCGGCCAACUAAGUCGGACGUGAAAUCCCCAGGCUCAACCUGGGAACUGCGUCCGAUACUGGAUGGCUUGAAUCCGGGAGAGGGAUGCAGAAUUCCAGGUGUAGCGGUGAAAUGCGUAGAUAUCUGGAGGAAUACCGGUGGCGAAGGCGGCAUCCUGGACCGGCAUUGACGCUGAGGAGCGAAAGCCAGGGGAGCAAACGGG
rnacentral:rRNA from 1 species